GCCUCGGCCGUCUCCUGCCAUCAAACUGUUCCAAAAAAGCCUCGUCUCUCUUUCAUACUGCUUCCCGUUCUCGGAUGCGAUGAAGAGAAAACAUUCUCUACUGUGAUCGUCGGGUUCCUCUUCGGAUCCGGCGACAUGAAGUCCAUCUAAUUUGUAUCUUGCCAAACGAAGGACCUAUGGAGGAAUCGCUUCUUACGCGGUGCUAUUCUUUCCAAGUUUGCCUUCGGAUAGGAAGUAAAAGCGAGGUGGGACGGCCGGACUCGUAGAUGAAUUCGAGUUUGGGUGAUCUCCGGGUCGUUCUUUCGAUCCGUUCUUCGCACAUCUAGAUUAGUGUUUGGCAGAGAUCCAUGUAGAAGAUCGAGUAAGAGGGGACGAAAAGAGCGAAGGGCCCAGCAGAGGGGUGAUGAACUCGUGAGUUGAGACCUCUCUAACUUCUCGGUACAACCUUCGCAAAGUGAAGCCUGCCGUGAUCGUACGACGCCUGAACUCUGUGGUUUUCCUGGUGUCUCGUACACGGCUACAGAUCCUCUCGGCGACUGAUUAACUUUUCAAUUUUUCUUGAUGAUACUUUGGAGCAUUGUAGCUUAGCUAAUUUUUGGCUCAUCUCUCAUGCAAUCUACCACACUUUGGCACAUCAAAACCUAGGAACAUAGGAAGGUGUUAGGGACAGUAAAGAUGAGAUCUGGCUUCUGUAGUUGAUGUCAUGUUGGGUUCAAUCUGUACCCACGAGAGGUUUGAACCCGAGGAGACGAGAAAUUAGAACAACAUGCUAUGGAUACGGGCUCAAGGGGAUAGCAUACGUAGACUGUUUUGUACGACAAUAUCUUUUUCUCCCUCCCGUCCCUUUUUUUUUCCCGGUUAUGCACUCAAGUUCAAAUAAUAUUUUCAUUGUAUUCA